UACGUAGGGGGCAAGCGUUGUCCGGAAUCAUUGGGCGUAAAGAGCGUGUAGGCGGCCCGGUAAGUCCGCUGUGAAAGUCCAGGGCUCAACCCUGGAAUGCCGGUGGAAACUGUCGGACUAGAGUCCGGAAGAGGCGAGUGGAAUUCCUGGUGUAGCGGUGAAAUGCGCAGAUAUCAGGAGGAACACCAAUGGCGAAGGCAGCUCGCUGGGACGGUACUGACGCUGAGACGCGAAAGCUAGGGGAGCAAACGGG
rnacentral:rRNA from 1 species